AUAGGGUACGGGUGUAUGAAGCAUUAAUUACAAGGUCAAAUUGUAAGGCGGAGUAUCCUUUUCUUAAUUUCAUUUGAGGAGGAUCAUAUGCUAGCUAGCUACUAUAUAUAGAUUAGGGUUGUGUGAGGAAAUAGUAAGAAGUGCAACAAAAGCAUUAGUUCAUCAAAAAAAAAAAUAUUAAGUUUCGAGUUUAAGCAAGAAGUUCAAACAAUGGUGAGGGUAUCAGCUAACUUAUUGAUGGUUGCUCCCAUUGUUUUAGCAAUGUUGUUCCUGCUCAGUACUACAACAGCUACGGUGGUUGAAAAGAUGGAAACAACUUCUGAAGAAAGGCCUUUGAUGGUAGUCGAAUAAGUAAUGAUCAUGGUUGAACAACCAAAAAUUGAUGAUAAUUAUGGAAACCGAAAAACAAAGAUGAUGUUUAUGGAACCAAACAAUGGUGGAUUAGAUGCACAAAUUAUUAAGGAAGUCACAAGUAAUACCGUGGAGGCUAUAAAAACAUGCGGAUUAAAAGGCGAGACGUGUGGUUGGCUUUGGAAGUGUUGUACCGGCCUCACUUGUGUUUCAAAAGUGCAUUUUAACCUUUGUGAGUAAACACUAAUUAAGGUGCCUCAGCUUGCACACUGUACUGGAUUGACGAUCUUAUUUCUUGUUCUUGUUUUUAAAGGCCGGUCUUGUAUGGACCCGGUCUACAAUGCAUUAUGUCAUUUGCUUACUUUCAAAGCCUUUAAGGUAUACUAUGUAAUACUUAUGCUUGUGUGUUUGGAUGUUCAUCAUCAUGAAUAAAUAUUCCUAUUCCUAUAUA